rfam:Dipodomys ordii contig_19593, whole genome shotgun sequence.
GUCUAUGACCAUACCACCCUGAACGCACCCGAUCUUGUCUGAUCACGGAAGCUAAGCAGGGUUGGGCCUGGUUAGGACUUGGAUGGCAGAAAUGUGCCGCGGCGAAUCGGCAGCGUUAGUAUACC